rnacentral:rRNA from 1 species
AUUGAACGCUGGCGGCAUGCCUUACACAUGCAAGUCGAACGGCAGCGCGGACUUCGGUCUGGCGGCGAGUGGCGAACGGGUGAGUAAUACAUCGGAACGUACCCUGUUGUGGGGGAUAACUAGUCGAGAGAUUAGCUAAUACCGCAUACGACCUGAGGGUGAAAGUGGGGGACCGCAAGGCCUCACGCAGCAGGAGCGGCCGAUGUCGGAUUAGCUAGUUGGUGGGGUAAAGGCCCACCAGGGCGACGAUCAGUAGCUGGUCUGAGAGGACGAUAAGCCACACUGGGACUGAGACACGGCCCAGACUCCUACGGGAGGCAGCAGUGGGGAAUUUUGGACAAUGGGGGCAACCCUGAUCCAGCAAUGCCGCGUGUGUGAAGAAGGCCUUCGGGUUGUAAAGCACUUUUGUCCGGAAAGAAAUCGCGCUGGUUAAUACCUGGCGUGGAUGACGGUACCGGAAGAAUAAGCACCGGCUAACUACGUGCCAGCAGCCGCGGUAA